CGGACCUGACUGCUAUCGGAUUGAUACUAAGCCAUGCGAGUCAUUGUAGCAAUACAAGGCAUACGGCUCAGUAACGCGUAGUCAACCUAACCUAUGGACGGGAAUAACCUCGGGAAACUGAGAAUAAUGCCCGAUAGAACAUUAUGCCUGGAAUGGUUUAUGUUCCAAAUGAUUUAUCGCCGUAGGAUGGGACUGCGGCCUAUCAGUUUGUUGGUGAGGUAAUGGCCCACCAAGACUAUUACAGGUACGGGCUCUGAGAGGAGUAGCCCGGAGAUGGGUACUGAGACACGGACCCAGGCCCUAUGGGGCGCAGCAGGCGAGAAAACUUUGCAAUGUGCGAAAGCACGACAAGGUUAAUCCGAGUGGUUUCUGCUAAAGGAACCUUUUGUCAGUCCUAKAAACACUGAUGAAUAAGGGGUGGGCAAGUUCUGGUGUCAGCCGCCGCGGUAAAACCAGCACCUCAAGUGGUCAGGAUGAUUAUUGGGCCUAAAGCAUCCGUAGCCGGCUCUGUAAGUUUUCGGUUAAAUCUGUACGCUCAACGUACAGGCUGCCGGGAAUACUGCAAAGCUAGGGAGUGGGAGAGGUAGACGGUACUCGGUAGGAAGGGGUAAAAUCCUUUGAUCUAUUGAUGACCACCUGUGGCGAAGGCGGUCUACCAGAACACGUCCGACGGUGAGGGAUGAAAGCUGGGGGAGCAAACCGGAUUAGAUACCCGGGUAGUCCCAGCUGUAAACCAUGCAAACUCAGUGAUGCAUUGGCUUGUGGCCAAUUCAGUGCUGCAGGGAAGCCGUUAAGUUUGCCGCCUGGGAAGUACGUACGCAAGUAUGAAACUUAAAGGAAUUGGCGGGG
rnacentral:rRNA from 1 species